GAACAAUGAAACUAUAGCAGUGAUUUUAGGAGAUAUCCAGUUUUUAGCACUCUUAAAUAAUAUCCAAGAACUGCAUAUCGAUGCGACGUUUGAAGUAUGCCCUAGAAAUAUCUCCAAUUACAUACAACUAUUGACGAUAAUGGCUACAGUUUCUGAUACGGCCUUACCUAUUACUUGGGUUAUAAUGACAUCAAAGACGACUGCAGCAUACACGGCAGUAUUAAAUCAUUUUUCACAAGUGUUUGCUCCUCAUAUCAAUCCAUCAUCUGUUUCUGUUGAUUUUGAAGAGUGAUUAUCUUCAGCUAUAGAUGCAAUUUUCCCCAACGCUAAGAUUAUCCGGUGUUACUUUCAUUUUUUAAAUGCUUCAAUGAGAAACUUGAAAAAAAAAGGAACGAAAUUCAUGGAGCGAUUAAAAGGCUGGCGAGAAGGUAAAAUUUUUUAUAGGAAAUUGAUGGGAAUUCCUCUUCUGCCUCAGGAACACAUGGUUUUAGCUUUCAAAUGAUUACUGACAAAUACAGUAGAUGAUGUCAAAGAACAGUUCGCUGACUUUAUAAAGUAUUUUUAAGGUUGGUGGAUAAAGCGCGUUACACCAAUAAAACUUAGUGUAUUUUUAACGGAAAAGGUAACAAAUAAUGAAAUAGAAGCUUAUCAUCGAGUUCUACGGAAAAGAAUGGGCAGUCACCCCUCAAUUUGGCAGC